GAUUUGUAGAAGUAUUUCUUUCGAAAUGGAAGUCUCCUGUCAACCAAAAAUGAAAACUUUGGAGCCACCUCUCUUUAUCUUUAUUUGGAGAGCGUAGGUUAUUCUCAUAAAAUCUUAGAAUUCAUUUUGUCAUAUUAUCCAUAAAAUGGCCAAAGGAAUGGCAUUUAGAGUCUCUAAACUAGCGAAGGCCAAACAAUGAGGAGUUCUCAGCAACUCACCUACAUUUUUUUUUUUUUU
rnacentral:misc_RNA from 1 species